CACACCCGCCAUUUCAAACAGUUAGAUUUCCAGGUCUUUCAUUCAUGCCAAGGUCCCCAAUGAGCAUGCGGAGGGAAGCCUGCCACAACCCAUCCUUUACAAAAAAAAAAAAAGUCCGCUGGCAGAUGGAGACAGAGGCCUCAAUGCCGACAGCAGCUGCCUCCGCUUCAGAUCUUCUGGCACAUGUGGAGCCUGGACUUGGACGAGGAGGUGGCAUCUUUCCACACCUUGCAGGAGAGGCCCUUGGCGCAGUCGCAGCGCUGGAAGAUUUCCAAGCCACGAGUGCCUUUCUUCCUCUGCUUAGUGCACACCUCUCCCUGCCUCAGAACCGGCUUGCAGAUCUUGGUCCAGAAAUGGCGGGCGCAACAGUAGCCCUCUGAGCAGUCUGAUGACCGCAGACAAGGGUCGCCCUCAUGCCCUAACAGAGGAAGACAGGAAAGACUUCUGAUCAGUGGUGAACCAAACGGAUGCAAACUCCUAACAGGAUAUCAAGUUGGCACAUCUCUACUUGGGGGAGAAAAACAGAAACAAAUGCUUCAUCGGAGACAUAAAAGACCCAGAUGAAAUCAUAAACCCCCAACGUCUUAAAGUUUGCCGAACAGUGAUUCAGUUAAAUAGAGGAAAGGAAAUGUGUAAUCACUGUUCAUUAAGAUGUUGUGCUGGAUCCACAGGGACAAGUUGAGCAAACGUGGAGAACGGCCUUGUCAGAGACAAAAGAGACGAAGCUUUCAACCUGAAUCCAAUCAAACAUUCUUAUUCUUCUGUAUAUCAAGCCUUAUAACUAUUGUUCUGUAAAUGAACCAUAUAGUCCCAUCUGGUCUAAGUUUGAGAUUUUUUGGCAGGAGAUUAGUAUUAACUUGAUGAAUGUAUAAUUUGUACACUUGAGUCAUGCAGAGGCUUUUUUUGUUUUCUUCUGUGAAACACGUUAUAUCACCUCUUGCCAGACGCUGCUUUAUCAUUUAGACCAGUCGUCCUGUAUCGCUGACAAAACCACACUUUGCUGAUUAGUUAUUUCAAUAUGAAGUUCCAACCGCUCGCAUGAAGGACUGCUGUUUCACACCACGGAUCGUGCGAGUGGACUUUUCUCACGCAAAGGCCAUAAUAGUGCAAUAACAUUUAAGGAGAAAGGAAUGAGUCAAACGUAAAUGAAAAUAAAUGGCCUUAUUUACA